CCUUUCUAAGGAUGAUCAAGAAUGGGCCUAGGCCUUUUUUGAUCUGAUUAGACAUUGACGGUUUAAAGUCUUAUUUAAACCGUUGACAUAUUUUAAACAUUCUAUGAACCGUGGGUUUUGAAUGGAAACUCUGUCCCCUUUAGUGAUACAGAGCAUAACUGUUUUUUAUCCAUGGUUCAUUUGUUUAAAAAUUUAUAAAAAGACUAGCCGCCUUCAUUUCUCUUUCUUCAGAUGAUGAUCCUAAGCCUUCUGGCGAUCUGUUUGCACAAGCCUCUGAGAGGGAUGAAGAUAUUGUUUUCUUUGAUCAGAUUAUGCCGGUAAAGGUUUUCUGGUUUACCCUAUAGGGCUUGUAGCUCAGUUGGUUAGAGCGCGCGCUUGAUAAGCGUGAGGUCGGAGGUUCAAGUCCUCCCAGGCCCACCAGUUACACGAUGCUAAAAGUUGCUAUAUUGGGAGAGUUGAUAAUCCCUUACAGGAAAUUAUUGCCCUUAAUAAAACUUUAUUUUCUAAAAGCAUUCAGAGCUGACAUAGAAUAGAGCUGACAUAGAAUUGAGAAUCUGACAUAGGAAUUAUUGAAAUUGUUUUGGAAUUAUUGAAAUUGUUUUCUAUCAUUUUAAAAGGCUAAAAUAUUCUGUCUCUAUUUUUAAAAUAGCAUCAGGUGUUUUGUAAGAGUGUGAAGUUUUUAAGUGUGAGGUUUUUUAUAUUUUAGUGUGAGGUUUUUAUAAGGGUAUGACGUGAGAGCGUUUUGACCUGUUUUAGGGGCCGUAGCUCAGCUGGGAGAGCACCUGCUUUGCAAGCAGGGGGUCGUCGGUUCGAUCCCGUCCGGCUCCACCAUAAUUUGGUUCAUCAUUAUUGUUAGAAGAAUAGUUAUUGCAAGAGAUUGAGAGAUCUCUUUGCUUGUUCUAUUGAAAUUGUGAAGAAGAAGGUAUAUUCAGACGUUUUUUGCUUGAACUCAUUCUUAUGAAAGAGAUUUUUCUUAUGAAAGAGAUUUUUAAGAAUGGAUAGCUUAAAAAGAAGAAUGGAUGGCUUAAAAAGGUGGCUUAAAAAGGAUGGCUGUUUUUAAAUGAAAAUAGUUAUUUUUACGCUCUUUUGACGAUUGUUACAACAUUAUACGAUUAAAACAUUAUACGAUAAUGAUAAUAACGAUAAUAAAAAGAGCUUUCAUUAAUAAAAAGAGCUUUCAUUAAUAAUAAAGAGCUUUCAUUGAACUUUCAUUGAAGAAGCAUUUUGAGCAAAACAGAUGUGUCGCAAGGAAGAGCUCAAAUUCCUUGCUUAUGAUUGGCAACUUAACCGUGCCAUUGAAUAUAUCUCGAGAAGUUGGUCUUUUCUGCUGAUAUUUUUGUUUUAAGUGCCUAUUGAUGCUAGAUUAUUUUUAAAAAUAAUUUUGUAUUGAUGAUUUUGCACGGAAUAAUUGACGAAUGAAUAUUGGCAAUGAGAAUG
rnacentral:tRNA from 1 species